rnacentral:rRNA from 1 species
GGUCAGACGGGACUACCCGCUGAGUUUAAGCAUAUCAAGGGG